CGCAUCUCGGCGCCGGGCGAGGGGUCCCAGGGUCACCAGCCGCCCCGCCCCAGAGGUGGCCGCAUCUCGGCGCCGGGCGAGGGGUCCCAGGGUCACCAGCCACCCGCCCCAGAGGUGGGCGCAUAUUGGCGCCAGGCGAGGGGUCCCUGGGUCACCAGCCGCCCCGCCCCAGAGGUGGCCGCGUCUUAAACUAACUCCUCUCUGCUCCCGUCUCUUUCCUUUCCAGUUUACUUCAGCACUUAAUGGACCCUCGGAAGCCAAAGCCCCCCCUCCCUCCCCCCAAAGGAGCUGCGGCCGGGAGAGGCGCGAGGGGCUGCGACCCCCCCCCAUGAUCUCAGCCAUAUCUUCCAGCCUCCCCCUCCCCUUCUCCCCCGGGCCCCCCCCCGUGGCGUGUGUGUGUGUGUUGCGGUGCGUGUGGCCGUCCUGUAUAUAGGCUGACUUAUUUAUACAUAUAUAUAUAUUCUAUAUUUUGUCUGUUUGUAGAUUUAUUACUAGAUUUACAGCUGUCAUGCCCCCCCCCAAAAAAUACCUGCUCCCCGCCGGUGUUUUCAGUGUCUAGUGUUUUAAUUUAAAUAUUUUAAGGACCAAUUCCCCCCCCCCCAAAAAAAAAGUAAAAUAGGGGGAGCCCAGAAGCCUGAGAAACUCAAGCGCCCACCCCUGCCCUUUCAGAGCAACGUGAGAGCUGGGUCCCCCAGUUUGGCUAUGUCUCAGCGCCUGUAUGAACAGCUGCCCGCCCCAGAGUUGGCUGCAUCUCCGCGCCGGGCGAGGGGUCCCUGGAUAACCGGCCGCCCCGCCCCAGAGCUGGCCGCCUCUUGGCGCCGGGCGAGGGGUCCCUGGAUAACCGGCCGCCCCGCCCCAGAGCUGGCCGCCUCUUGGCGCCGGGCGAGGGGUCCCUGGAUAACCGGCCUCCCCGCCCCAGAGCUGGCCGCAUCUCACACCACACAAGGGGGGGGGUGUCAUAAGUGUCUUUACCUUCCUCUCCCCCCUCCCUGACCCUGUGAGCUUCUGUAAAAUUCCUGGAUCUGUACUGUGCAGUCUGUCUUUGGGGGGGGACUAGGGGUUGAUCUUCCUACCCCCCCAUACACAUACACACACCUCAUGUGGGGGAGAGGACAGUGCUGUCACACCCCCAGCUCCAAGCCCUUUAAGACUCUUAGGGUGGGGGUUGCAUGGGGAAAGGGGAGGAGCCCCUAAAUCCACCCCUCCUCCACGGCCCAGCGGUUCCAGCUUCUCUCCUCUGGGGGUGGAGGGAGGGGGCAGGCUGGCUCCCCAUUAACUCUGUCUGACCCCAGAGUGCCCCCCACCCAGCAACAGGGCCCAGGCCUGGCUGGGGCAGGGGGGCUGGAUUAGUCUUGUCUUGCGGGGGGGAAGAAGCAGGCACAGCCUAGAGCCAGCGACCUCCUUCCCCCCACCCCACCUCCCCCAGAGUGGGCACAGAUGGGGCAUUCCCCUUCCCCACCCGCUAAUGGGGGGUUCCCCUGGUGGCCAGCAGGGGGCGAUCCCUGAGCAGCUCUGCAAUGUAUCCCUGUGUCGUGUGAUGAGUCACCCCCACCUUGCCCUGUCCCCCUCCCUCAGCCCCUCGAGUCAGUCAUCUGUAGCAUUAAACCUUCCUUGCUAGCCCCAUAGCGCUAAACCUCUCCCAGCUCCGAGACAGCCCCAUAGCGCGACCCCUCCCCCCGCCAACCCCUCAGCACGACCCCUCCGCCCGCCAACCCCUAUAGAACGAUCCCCCCCCCGCACACACACACACACACCCGCUUAGGAGACAUGACGUGUGACUGUGUCCUGCUGGACUCUCCAGGCUGAGUGCUCGCUGGGGGGGGGGGGGCGGAUUGCCCCCCCCCCCACCAGCUUGGAGGGACAUUGGCAGGGGAUCCCCUACGAUGCCCGCUUUGGCAGGGCGCAGCCUGGCGGGUCCUCUGCUCCCCAUCUGGAGGGAACGCGGGAGCUAAGGACCUGGCUGGCUCUGCCCUCUGUGAGGCUGGCUUGGCAGCGGGGUGCCCUGGGGGUCCCUUCAACCAGGCUGCGUGGAUUGUGAACUGCUGGGGAACAGAGAGUGGGGGGGCAGAUCCCAGGCUGUGUUUUCCCUUGGCCGGGGGGCAGGUGUCACUGCUGCCCCUUGGCUUUGGGGGCACAGGGUCCACCGUGACCCACGGUGGGACCAGUGCCCCCUAAUUCUAAAGGCACCUGGGAUGAGAGUGGGGGGGGGCAGAGCUGGCUGGAUUCCCCUAGACCUAGCUGGAGGGAUGGGAGGGGGUUGGUCUUGCCCCCAUGCGCUCCCCAGCAGCAGGCGGGGGGGGGCAAGGCACCCCCUGGAGGGAACGGGGAGUGACUUUAUGCUGUGAAAAUGUACAAUAAAUGUCCUGUGGAGAAAGCCCAA